rnacentral:rRNA from 1 species
GAUGAACGCUGGCGGCGUGCCUAAUACAUGCAAGUCGAGCGAACAGACGAGGAGCUUGCUCCUCUGACGUUAGCGGCGGACGGGUGAGUAACACGUGGAUAACCUACCUAUAAGACUGGGAUAACUUCGGGAAACCGGAGAUAAUACCGGAUAAUAUAUUGAACCGCAUGGUUCAAUAGUGAAAGACGGUUUUGCUGUCACUUAUAGAUGGAUCCGCGCCGCAUUGGCUAGUUGGUAAGGUAACGGCUUACCAAGGCGACGAUGCGUAGCCGACCUGAGAGGGUGAUCGGCCAAACUGGAACUGAGACACGGUCCAGACUCCUACGGGAGGCAGCAGUAGGGAAUCUUCCGCAAUGGGCGAAAGCCUGACGGAGCAACGCCGCGUGAGUGAUGAAGGUCUUCGGAUCGUAAAACUCUGUUAUUAGGGAAGAACAAAUGUGUAAGUAACUAUGCACGUCUUGACGGUACCUAAUCAGAAAGCCACGGCUAACUACGUG